CCAGGUGCCCAGCCUUGAGCAGAAACAGGCCUGAGUAGGUCAGGUUCCAAACCGGGAAAUCAAGCCCGGGGUCCAGCUGUGGAGAUGAACUCCUGAGCACUCGCCACGAAACCAGUGCCGGGAUGAACGCCCAUCUAUCCCGGGGCCCCACAGCGCGUUUCCUCUGCAAUCGCCGCGGGCCUUCGAUUCACAGAGGAUUCUUCUGCCCUCCAAAGCGAAGGGCACCGUCGCACUCACAAGAGGCUAGUCUCAGGGAACCCCAUAUGCUCACCCCGCUCGGCGCGAACAGCAGUAGCAAGGGAGGAAGCCCUCCUUCAGGACCCCGCAGCCGAGCCGGGAACGAGACGAACUACUAUUUGCGUUCGCGACAACCCCGGAGAAGACACCGCUAAAAGAAAAGGUGGUAGUGGAAGCAGGUUGGCGCUUCCAGAAGCGUCUAAUGCCUCGGACGUUUCUUAGCUCGAUCUGAAUUAGUAACCCGGGCGAGGGGCGCGAGAAUGGGGGUCCCAGGGGAAGCCAGCGGGCAGAGGGGAUGAGCGAAGGGAGAAUAAAAGUGAUUCAAAUGAAAUUCCCACGCGCUCAGACCAUCCACGCUUUCAGCUGGAGGAAGGGAGAUUGGGGCACGCACGGCGCGCCCGGCUGUGCUGCGGAAACUCUCCGGCUCCCGGCGCGCGCGGACGGACGGAAGGACUGACGGGCAAAUCCGGGCGAAGGACUUACCUUCAGGGUUGGCGCUGAUGAAGACCCGCACGCUUCGCCCGGCGGGCACGAGGUUCAAAAUCUCUGGAGCUCAUGAUUGUGAGCUGCUCUGAGGCUUGAUCUCAGGAACAUCACUACAAACAAAUGAAGAAGGCACAGCUGGGCAGAGGAGGAUGUCGAAAGUGGGGUUGCCACAGAGGCCCGUGGGUUAUCUGGUGCCGGGAUGACCAUUCAGAUUGUCCUGGAUUGAGGUGAGGAUAUUGGACCUCUUUUACCCUUCCAUGAA